AGGAUGAACGCUAGCUACAGGCUUAACACAUGCAAGUCGAGGGGCAGCAUGGUCUUAGCUUGCUAAGGCCGAUGGCGACCGGCGCACGGGUGAGUAACACGUAUCCAACCUGCCGUCUACUCUUGGACAGCCUUCUGAAAGGAAGAUUAAUACAAGAUGGCAUCAUGAGUCCGCAUGUUCACAUGAUUAAAGGUAUUCCGGUAGACGAUGGGGAUGCGUUCCAUUAGAUAGUAGGCGGGGUAACGGCCCACCUAGUCUUCGAUGGAUAGGGGUUCUGAGAGGAAGGUCCCCCACAUUGGAACUGAGACACGGUCCAAACUCCUACGGGAGGCAGCAGUGAGGAAUAUUGGUCAAUGGGCGAGAGCCUGAACCAGCCAAGUAGCGUGAAGGAUGACUGCCCUAUGGGUUGUAAACUUCUUUUAUAAAGGAAUAAAGUCGGGUAUGGAUACCCGUUUGCAUGUACUUUAUGAAUAAGGAUCGGCUAACUCCGUGCCAGCAGCCGCGGUAAUACGGAGGAUCCGAGCGUUAUCCGGAUUUAUUGGGUUUAAAGGGAGCGUAGAUGGAUGUUUAAGUCAGUUGUGAAAGUUUGCGGCUCAACCGUAAAAUUGCAGUUGAUACUGGAUAUCUUGAGUGCAGUUGAGGCAGGCGGAAUUCGUGGUGUAGCGGUGAAAUGCUUAGAUAUCACGAAGAACUCCGAUUGCGAAGGCAGCCUGCUAAGCUGCAACUGACAUUGAGGCUCGAAAGUGUGGGUAUCAAACAGGAUUAGAUACCCUGGUAGUCCACACGGUAAACGAUGAAUACUCGCUGUUUGCGAUAUACUGCAAGCGGCCAAGCGAAAGCGUUAAGUAUUCCACCUGGGGAGUACGCCGGCAACGGUGAAACUCAAAGGAAUUGACGGGGGCCCGCACAAGCGGAGGAACAUGUGGUUUAAUUCGAUGAUACGCGAGGAACCUUACCCGGGCUUAAAUUGCAGAUGAAUUACGGUGAAAGCCGUAAGCCGCAAGGCAUCUGUGAAGGUGCUGCAUGGUUGUCGUCAGCUCGUGCCGUGAGGCGUCGGCUUAAGUGCCAUAACGAGCGCAACCCUUGUUGUCAGUUACUAACAGGUUCCGCUGAGGACUCUGACAAGACUGCCAUCGUAAGAUGUGAGGAAGGUGGGGAUGACGUCAAAUCAGCACGGCCCUUACGUCCGGGGCUACACACGUGUUACAAUGGGGGGUACAGAGGGCCGCUACCACGCGAGUGGAUGCCAAUCCCCAAAACCUCUCUCAGUUCGGACUGGAGUCUGCAACCCGACUCCACGAAGCUGGAUUCGCUAGUAAUCGCGCAUCAGCCACGGCGCGGUGAAUACGUUCCCGGGCCUUGUACACACCGCCCGUCAAGCCAUGGGAGCCGGGGGUACCUGAAGUGCGUAACCGCGAGGAGCGCCCUAGGGU
rnacentral:rRNA from 1 species